UCUGCCGGGCGACGCCAGGGGGUUUGCCAGGCUGGAGGAGGCAUCAGUGCACGCCUGCAGAGUUAAGAGAACAAGGAGGACCUUCACUCAGGUGGCCCCAGUGGAGCUUUAAGAUUGAUGUGGAACCAAAAUAGUUUUUUUUUUCAGUUUCGGAGCCCUUCCUGAUUUUGCAAGUGAUGCUCCCAGGAGACAGCAGCUGGGACAUUAUGCAGUAAUCCCAAAGGGAAUCCAUCUCCCAUCGCUGCUCCUCCCAGCCAGGAAGCCAUCAGACCUAACAAAAACUGCAACUUCAGCCCUUCAGAAGACCCAAUUACACACCCGCCCUCCAGCACUGCAGCUACAAGCACCUCUCCAGAAACACCCUCUCAUUAUUUCAUUAGGAAUUUGGAUGCAGGGUUUUCCCAAGCGGAAUAUGUUGGUGUUCAGCUCUUCUUAUUGUCGUGGUAACCGUUUCAGCAUUUACACAACAGGCUUUUCUUUACCAGUAUGAUUUAUAUAUCAAAUACUAGCUCAUUGUGCUGCACUAUUGAACUCUUUCAACACUGCAGAGCUGUAUACCGGUCUAAGACAGAUCACUUUUACCUGGACUUCGAUACACCACUGGGCCUAAGGUAUUAUGGGCAACUGAGAAAUCAUGCAAACCAGCAAUCCAAUCUAAUAUGCUGACGUAUAGGGUAUAUAAUCUUCAUCUUCAAGACAAUGAAACCAUUUUGUUAGUCAUCCCAACAUAGUCUUAUUUUAAAAUGUAUCUAAAGUCCUGAAAGAGUGAAAUUUACUCAGUUCCUGCUUGCAGAUUGAGCAUCGAGAAAUCGGAAAAUUUAUACAAAAUAAAAUAACUUACCCCUUUUGGUAUCUUUA